AUUGAACGCUGGCGGCAGGCCUAACACAUGCAAGUCGAGCGAGCGGCGGGCGGGUGAGUAAUGUAUGGGGACUGCCCGAUAUAGGGGGAUAACUACUGAAAACGGUGGCUAAUACCGCAUACUAUCGGAUAACCCAUAUGGGAUUAGCUAGUAGGUGGGGUAAAGGCUCACCUAGACGACGAUCUCUAGCUGGUCUGAGAGGAUGAUCAGCCACACUGGGACUGUGACACGGACCAGACUCCUACGGAGGCAGCAGUGGGGAAUAUUGAACAAUGGGCGCAAGCAUGAUGCAGCCAUGGCGCGGGGAUGAAGAAGGCCUUAGGGUUGUAAAGGACUUGCAGCGGGGAGGCGUUACCCGCAGAAGAAGCACCGGCUAACUCCGUGCCAGCAGCCGCGGUAAUAC
rnacentral:rRNA from 1 species